GCCUAUAGUCUAGUGGCUAAGGUACAUGGCUGAGAUCCCUGAGGUUGGUGGUUCAAGUCCCAGACUAGCCA